rnacentral:pre_miRNA from 1 species
AUUAAGAUCGCAACUGACUCAACGUUUAACCGUCCAUCUUAUUUAAAAAAAUAAUUAGUAGUUUUAUUGUUAUAUAAGAUGAUAAAACAUAAAUAGUAAUUUAUAUGUGACUAAUUUAUUUUUUUUAUAAAAUUUUCAAAUAAGAUAAGUGAUUAAAUGUUGGGCACGAAAAUCCACCACACGCUUAAA